GCAGAUUGCAACCGAAUAUGUAUAAAAACCACAUGCAUGAAGUAUCGGCGUGUCACGUUAACAAUAUCACAAUAGAAACAGCAACCAAAUUUGUAUUACUAUGCCUUUAUGUUAUUCAAUUAAUAUAUUUAAUAGUAUUUGUAUCAAUAUUGAUAUAAAAAGUUCAAUAUCCAGGUAAAAAUAGCAUAAUUCUUCUGGGUUUUUUUCUUUUCAAAAUCACGGGGGAGGAACUGUUACACGAGACUCGGUUGUGGAGGAUAUCAUGUUACAGAUUUAGGAUGCUACUGUUACAGUAUUACUGGAUAACGUUACAGCAUUCGGAGGAUAAUAAUCGCUGUCGGGGUUUUGUUUGCCAAAGAAAUGCCUCCUGUAGAACGCAGAACGUGUGAAUACCAAAGGAAGGUCUGUAGUUCGACUGGUCAUGAGAACAACAACAACGCAAAGCAGAAUUUCCAGUACAAACAGGCAAAAAGAUCAAGGUCGUUCCUUGGACAGAGGAGCAGUUAGCGGCCAUGCGAAGGUCAUUCGCCAAAAAUCUCCGCUGCUUAAGAGUUCCUAACAAGGAGGAAUGCGAACGAGCAAGGAAAAAUGAGAGCCUGUUGCUUUGUCGUGACUGGAAGAACAUCAAAUUUCGUGUCCAUCAUGA